rnacentral:rRNA from 1 species
UACGAAGGGGGCUAGCGUUGUUCGGAAUUACUGGGCGUAAAGCGCACGUAGGCGGACAUUUUAAGUCAGGGGUGAAAUCCCAGAGCUCAACUCUGGAACUGCCUUUGAUACUGGGUGUCUUAGUUAUGGAAGAGGUGAGUGGAAUUCCGAGUGUAGAGGUGAAAUUCGUAGAUAUUCGGGGAACACCAGUGGCGAAGGCGGCUCACUGGUCCAUUACGUGACGCUGAGGUGCGGAAAGCGUGGGGGAGC